UACGUAGGGGGCAAGCGUUAUCCGGAUUCACUGGGUGUAAAGGGAGCGUAGACGGCGACGCAAGUCUGGAGUGAAAGCCCGGGGCUCAACCCCGGGACUGCAUUGGAAACUGUAAAGCUAGAGUGCCGGAGAGGUAAGCGGAAUUCCUAGUGUAGCGGUGAAAUGCGUAGAUAUUAGGAGGAACACCAGUGGCGAAGGCGGCUUACUGGACGGCAACUGACGCUGAGGCUCGAAAGCGUGGGGAGCAAACAGG
rnacentral:rRNA from 1 species